CAAGACUAAACACAAAUCAUGGAAUAAAAUCUACAUGAAUCUGGAUGACUGUAAUCAGAGUCUGAUACUCAGAGACCCAACAAGAAGCCAAUUCUCCAGUCAAAUGGAAGGCAUAUUCAGUCUUGUUGCCAGGACCUGGGAAAGGAGAGCUUAAGAGAUAAGCCUGCGUAUGUGAUGUUGGUAUUUUUUCCAGAACUCAUGGGAAGAGAGUGUGGUGCUCCACCUCAUCCAGGAUGAGUUCAACAAGAAGUAGUGGGAGGUAAUUCAACUCAAGAUAAUAUAAUCACUCUGCCGAAUUCAUUUGCUGAAUGUUGAAGAUUUUCAAGGAUGGUUGUUGUGCUAAAAAGAAAUCUGAAUUUACAGAUAUUAUGGCUAAGUUUAUUCUGUUAAAUCUUCUUUAAUCUGUUGAAUUAAAUAAAUGG